AAUAAAUUUUUAUGAUUUAUAAAUUUUAUUUUAAGUUUAAUUUACAUAUAAAUUUUAGUGUUAAUUUUAGUUUAUUUAAAAAAUAUACUAAUUAAUUAGGUAGUAAUUAUAAUUAAAAAUUUAAGAAAUUAAGAUUUAGUAAUUCAAUAAAUAAAUAACAAAUUUUGUGCCAGCAGUUGCGGUUAUACAAAAUUUUAUAUAAAAUUUUUCAGUAAUAAUUAAUAUAAUAAUAUAAUUUAAUUAAAAAUAAAAUUAUAAAGUGAAAUUUUAAUUUUAUAAAAAUUAAAAUUAAAAUAUGAUUUAAAAAAAUUUAAUUAAUAGACUAGGAUUAGAUACCCUAUUAUAAGAAAAUUAUUUAAAAAUACUAAAAUAGUAAAUAAUAAUUUAUUGAAACUUAAAUAAUUUGGCGGUAUUUUAGUUCAUUUAGAGGAAUCUGUCUAAUAAUUGAUAAUCCACGAAUAAAUAUACUUAAUUUAAAAUUUUAUAUAUCGUUGUUAAAAAAAUAUUUUUAAAAAAAAAUAAUAUUUAAAAAUUAUAAUUAAAAAAUUAAUUCAGAUCAAGAUGUAGAUUAUAAUUAAGAAUAUGAUGGAUUACAAUAAUAAUAAUUAAAUGAAUUUUUAUAUUGAAAUAAUAAAUUGAAGGUGGAUUUAAAUGUAAUUUUAUUUAAUUUAAUAAGAUGAUUAUAAAUUAAAAUAUGUACAUAUUGCCCGUCACUUUCAUUUAAAAAUUGGAAUAAGUCGUAACAAAGUAGAGGUACUGGAAAGUGUUUCUAGAAAUAA
rnacentral:ncRNA from 1 species